rnacentral:sRNA from 1 species
AUAAAAGAAAAUAAAAGAAAAUAAAAAGA